rnacentral:rRNA from 1 species
UCGCUCCUACCGAUGAGUGAUCCGGUGAACCUUUCGGACGGCAGUACUCCUCGUGGGUGCCGCUGGAAGUCAAGUAAACCAAGUCACUUAGAGGAAGGAG